rnacentral:tRNA from 1 species
GGGGAUUUAGCUCAGUGGCAUAAGCACCUGCCUUGCAAGCAGGCGGUCGUUGAGUUCGAUCCCCA